AACGAACGCUGGCGGCAGGCCUAACACAUGCAAGUCGAGCGCCCUUUCGGGGGAGCCGCGGACGUGUGAGUAACGCGUGGGAAUAUGCCCUUCUCUACGGAAUAGCCUCGGGAUACUGAGAGUAAUACCGUAUACGCCCUGUGGUGGAAAGAUUUAUCGGGGAAGGAUUAGCCCGCGUUGGAUUAGGUAGUUGGUAGGGUAAUGGCCUACCAAUCCGACGAUCCAUAGAUGGUUUGAGAGGAAGAUCAGCCACACUGGGACUGAGACACGGCCCAGACUACUACGGGAGGGAGGAGAGGGGAAUCUUAGAAAAUGGGGGGAAGGAUGAUGGAGCCAUGGCGGGUGAGUGAUGAAGGCGUUAGGGUAGAAAAGCUCUUUCAGCUGGGAAGAUAAUGACGGUACCAGAAGAAGAAGCCCCGGCUAACUCCGUG
rnacentral:rRNA from 1 species